AUUGAACGCUGGCGGCAGGCCUAACACAUGCAAGUCGAACGGUAGCACAGAGAGCUUGCUCUCGGGUGACGAGUGGCGGACGGGUGAGUAACGUCUGGGAAACUGCCCGAUGGAGGGGGAUAACUACUGGAAACGGUAGCUAAUACCGCAUAACGUCGCAAGACCAAAGUGGGGGACCUUCGGGCCUCACACCAUCGGAUGUGCCCAGAUGGGAUUAGCUAGUAGGUGGGGUAAUGGCUCACCUAGGCGACGAUCCCUAGCUGGUCUGAGAGGAUGACCAGCAACACUGGAACUGAGACACGGUCCAGACUCCUACGGGAGGCAGCAGUGGGGAAUAUUGCACAAUGGGCGCAAGCCUGAUGCAGCCAUGCCGCGUGUAUGAAGAAGGCCUUCGGGUUGUAAAGUACUUUCGGCGGGGAGGAAGGCGGUGAAGUUAAUAGCUUCACCGAUUGACGUUACCCGCAGAAGAAGCACCGGCUAACUCCGUGCCAGCAGCCGCCGUAA
rnacentral:rRNA from 1 species